rnacentral:rRNA from 1 species
UACGGAGGGGGCUAGCGUUGUUCGGAAUUACUGGGCGUAAAGCGCACGUAGGCGGACUGUUAAGUCGGGCGUGAAAUCCCACGGCUCAACCCGUGGAAGUGCACUCGAAACUGCGCAGCUAGAGUCCUGGAGAGGAAGGUGGAAUGCUUGGUGUAGAGGUGAAAUUCGUAGAUAUCAAGCGGAACACCGGUGGCGAAGGCGGCCUUCUGGACAGUGACUGACGCUGAGAUGCGAAAGCGUGGGGAGCAAACAGGAUUAAGAAACCCCGGGUGAGCCCAGAACCGAACG